GGAAGAGCGACGUCCCUGGUGGGGCGCCCGGACUUCAACUCCGGUGGGAGGCGUUAGAAGCGUCUCCGGUGAGUUCGACUCUCACCUCUUCCGCCA
rnacentral:tRNA from 1 species